ensembl:lncRNA
UGUGCUGGUAAACACCUUCCCUUCCCCCGGCUCCCAAAAAAGCCCUGGUUUAUAACAUUUGCCAAUUUCCUUGGUGUAACUACUUCCACCUUGGCUGAUUUCAAGAUACCAACUCGCUGGUAAAAUUCCUGAGUGUUGAACCAUCCUCUCAGGAGUUGGAGGAGCCAGCCCCAGCGCACCACUGGCUGAAAGUAAUCAUUCAAAUUGACUGGAGCAGUUCAGCCAGGAGUGUGUUCUGCCAGACUCAGUCUUGUUGCAGAGACAAGAUGUUCCCCCCUGAAUGAGAUAAUGCCCUGAGAUCUUGGACGAUGAAGUGCCAAAUCAGUGCACACAUUGGUUAGGCUUGGCGAGGAGAUUAACUUGGAGAUAUAUUGCUGGAUGAUAAGAGAGAAGAUUCUGGACCAUCAAGAGAUGACAGCUGAAUGGGGGACAGCUAUAUCAGGAAUAAAGCAUCUUAAACAUCAUGAAAAGCCAGGCACCUGCAGGCCAAGGACAACCAGUCGUAUUAGGAACAAUAGAACUGAGGCAACAGCCUCUGCGAGCCAACCAGAUUUUCUCCAAGAUGGAGACUCAGCCCAGCCAACAUUCUACCACAGAAGCGACUGACCUGGCCUGGGGGUCCACCAGCCCAACCACUGGGUGUAAAAUUCCAUGCUGCCUCCCUCUAGUGCUUCCCACUGGAAGAGCUGACAUGGAGCCAGCUGGCAAAGCUGGACUACGGUUCGCAGAGCUCAGCUCCAGCACGAGGCUGAGAACAGAAGACUUACUAGCCAUGAGUCCUGACACUUUCAGAGUUGGAGUUCUGGAAAUGAGAAGAGGCAAGGGGAGCAGGAAAGCUCUUGCCUGAUUGGCCUGGGCAUGGUGAUGUGGCGUCUGCUCUCUCUGGACUUGGCAGACGUUGAAAGCUGACUCUCACAGGCUCUUUUUGAUGAUCUUAACUCACAAUCACUGAGGAUCUCUUCCCUGAAGUUUGCUUCACAGGACAAAUGCUCUCUAUUCCAGCCACUCACUUACUCACUCAUUCCUUCCUCGGCCUCUAUGAAUGUGCUGAUACCUCAAGCUUCUCCCUGAGAAGACCUGUUUAUUCCUCCAUGCAGCCCUCUUGGACAGAUCCAAGACAAUCCCUCACUGCCAUAGCGGGUAGGGGGAAACUUCUCCUGUGCCCUCUUAUAUUCAGUGACCGAGGCCAGCAAAUUAAACUGACAAAGAAAAGAUUAACAGGAGAGUAGGUUUAUUUCAUAUGCAUACGCGGGACCUCACAGAAAAGAAGUGAAAAUCCCCCAAAGCAAUAAUGCCUGGGGGUUUAUGUACCAUUUUAACAAAGGACAACACAGUGUAGAGAAGAGUUAAAGGGGUUUGAGCUUCUGGGGUGGUGAAUUGGAGGAAGGUAAAUAUACAGGGGAACCUAAUGGAAGAUGAGGGUUAUUUUAGUAAGGCUUGUUAUGCAGAUUCAAGUCAGUGCCUCAGUGAUUAAGCAGGAGAGGGGAGGGGGCAUACCUUCACACAGGGAAAUGUACCCCUGCUUUCAGGCAGAAAGAGGGGGGCAGAGAGCUCCUUUUGUGUCUGCUGUUUCUUAAUUGCCUUCAGCUCAAAAUAGUCCUAACAUCAAAGUGGUGUAUUUUGGGGUGGCAUAUUCUGAUCCCCUUCACUGCCAACCCUAUCAUGGGUGAGACCCAUAUCUGGGCACGCACUCACGAAUCCUCUUGUGACAAAUUUGGGGCGCACAAGCUGUCAUGGCUACCUCCCCGAGACCUUCCCUUUCCUCCACAGUCAAAGCCAUAGCUAGCCCAUCACUUGUCCUUUAAGUUUGGCGGGAACUGGACACCUGUGCAGUGUGUCCCCUGAGCUACUAGGGACACAAAUGAAGCUCUUUCAGUGGGCAAGUUGAACCCCCUUUUCCUAAGCAUGCGACAAGGGCCCUGUACUCCCUUCGCUCUCCACGGGUGGGAGAGGGACUCACCGCGCACCAAAAACUUUGUUCCUGGCCGUUUUAUCACCAUGAAUGAGGGGUGCAGCCAUCACAAAGCUGGUUUCUCUGCUCCCUUUCCUCCAAAGCCUGCACGGGGGUCUGGGACCUCUUUUUGGAACGUGAUCUCCAUUGUCUUCAGGCCUUAGCAGAAACGCCUAUUCUAACAUCUCGUUACAUGUGUACAUUGAGAAAACUGAAUAAAGUAGCCAGGUUGCCCUAUUAUUCUAAAAGUAUCAAUAUUCUUAAAGCUACCAAACCUGAGUAAAAUGGCCAGAAUGGGUCUGUUUGGGUCUAUUAGGGACUAUUCAUGGCGGGGAGAGAUGCUGCAGACCUUACCCCAGGGCCUCGGAAUCAUCUUGCAAGUGAAAUCACUCAGCUGUUUCUAAUCCUGUGUAGAAGGAUCACAAACUCUGGGAGUGUUGGGGCCGGCCCAGUGGCAUAGUGCUUAAGUUUGCGCACUCCACUUCAGCAGCCCAGCGUUUGCAGGUUUGGAUCCUGGGUAUGGACCUACACACUGUUCAUCAGGGCGCACUGUGGCAGCAUCCCACAUAAAAUACAGGAAGAUUGCCACAGACUUUAGCUCA